rnacentral:rRNA from 1 species
AACGAACGCUGGCGGCAGGCUUAACACAUGCAAGUCGAACGGGUGUAGCAAUACAUCAGUGGCAGACGGGUGAGUAACACGUGGGAACCUUCCUAGGGGUACGGAACAACUCAGGGAAACUUGAGCUAAUACCGUAUACGUCCGUAAGGAGAAAGAUUCAUCGCCCCUAGACGGGCCCGCGUCGGAUUAGUAGUUGGUGGGGUAACGGCCUACCAAGCCUACGAUCCGUAGCUGAUCUGAGAGGAUGAUCAGCCACACUGGGACGUGAGACACGGCCCAGACUCCUACGGGAGGCAGCAGUGGGGAAGUCUUGGACAAUGGGCGCAAGCCUGAUCCAGCCAUGCCGCGUGAGUGAAGAA